AUCGGGAUGACGUUGGAAAUUCGCAGACUUUCUGACCACGACGUGAUUUCCGCCGUAGUUGCUGAGG
rnacentral:snoRNA from 1 species